AGCACUUGAAGAGAGGUCUUCUGUGAUGUCCUCGCUUUAUCUUUUGACCAAUCAUACAUGGUUGACCUUUUUUUUUUUUAAGUAUC
rnacentral:pre_miRNA from 1 species